UACAGAGGUCCCGAGCGUUGUUCGGAUUCACUGGGCGUAAAGGGUGCGUAGGUGGUGAGGUAAGUCGGAUGUGAAAGCUCCGAGCUCAACUCGGAAAUGGCAUUGGAAACUACCUUGCUAGAGGGUUUGAGGGGGGACUGGAAUACUUGGUGUAGCAGUGAAAUGCGUAGAUAUCAAGUGGAACACCAGUGGCGAAGGCGAGUCCCUGGAAAACUCCUGACACUGGGGCACGAAAGCUAGGGGAGCAAACAGG
rnacentral:rRNA from 1 species